AACUUCUCUUUCUCUUCCACCCUCUUCCUAUUUUGUUUGUGGUUUUUUUUUUUUUGUUUUGUUUUGUUUUUUUUUAGCUAACCAGCUGCUGUUGGGCACAUCCUUACAUCUUGAAAGGAAUCAAAAGGCCCAAAAUGAUUUCUGGUAUAAUUCUAAGCUGAAGUGUUUGCAGCUGUGGUGCAUUCGACCCCUUAGGUUUAAUCAUUACAAUAAAUUAAACCUGCCUACGUGCUGAAAACAGCUCAUCAUGUGUUUUUCAUUCCAGCAAAGAGCUGCUAAAAAGCCCAGUUUUUUGCUGCUAGAAGAUCUAACUUGGCCACCUCUUCAAAACUGCAGGUAUUUUAGAUCCAGUUUAGGAGCAAUGGAUAUAGAAGACACCACGUAAGCUUUGCUGGGCUAUUUUCUCCCCUGACAUCAAGAGGAUUCUGACUUCAAGGAGCAUUGGGUUGAACUGUAAAGACCUACCUACAAGUAACAGACCAGUAUUUCUAAAAGCCCUCCCAAACCAGAAUAGCUGGGACAUGAACUGGGCAAAUCCCUCUGAGCUUCCCUGGUGCUGUGCCUCCAGCCUAUACUCUGCUAGCAAUAAAGGAGAGGCUGACCAGGGAAGUGGUAGUGGAGUCACCGUUCUUGAAGGCGUUGAAGAACUGUGGAGACAUGGCACUGAGGGACAGAUUUAUUCCUCUUUCUACCCCCUUACGCUUCAGGAUUAGACCUGGCUCUUCCUGGAACUGAGGUGAAGAAUCAAAGGGCAGAGCUCAGGAGGAAUGGAGUGCUGCAGACCUGGUGACACCUCAUCUCCCAGUGCCCAGGAAAUGCUGCACUCCUGCCUACACAUCUUACAGCCUCAGCCACCUGGAGAAAGGGCAGAAAGCUCAGUGCUGGCUCCUCUCUUUUUGAUGUACACAGAGAAAACACAGCUUUUGACAAUAGAAAUAGGUUCUACAGUAUUUUUGGCUAAUGAUGAAGUUUGUGAGACAUAUGUAAAACAGGGUUUCUUCACCUCUGAGUGUGGGUGGAUGAAGAUGAAUUCUGUUGCAAUUCAUGCGUUUUGCGUGGCUGUCCAAAUUGUAUUACACUAGAAUCCAUAGUUAAUUCUUUUCAACCAUCUGCUAAUUUUAGAGUAAUAUAUACAACAGUUUCUCCUCACCCUUACUUAAUCAACUUCACUUAGUUAAAAAUAAAAAUAAAAAUUCAUACAUC
ensembl:lncRNA